rnacentral:tRNA from 1 species
GAAGCCGCUCGGAUUGAGUUUCUAGUCGUUAACUAAAGGUUUAUGGGAUCGAGGCCCGUCAAUCUAG